GGAAGCUUAGUAGUAGAGCAUCUGCUUUCCAUUCAGAAGGUUCUCUAGGUUCAAUCCCUGACAUCUCCA